rnacentral:lncRNA from 1 species
UUGGUACACAAUCAGGUUGUUAGCGCACGCUGGCCGAAGGUCAUGGCCGCCUUAUCACAAUCAACGGGAUAUAACAUUACUACGAACGACCCAGUCACUGGCGCUCCUGUGCUCAGAACACAGCUGCUGCAAGUUGUCGGUGGACGGAGCAUAGUGUGCAUGGUAGAGCCACAUACGCCCAAGCCUUGCUGCGAACCCUCACCGCUGGAAUGUAAUUUCUAUUGCGGUGCUAUCAAUCAAAGUCUGACAUCGAAGAUACGUGUUACGAUCCACACACGCAGCCCAACAUCGAGCACCAGUUUCUCAUCGACGAAGUUGCAGCGAUGGCUUUCUGUCCCGCCAUUCUCAUCGGUCUUACGUUCUUCUCGAGCCAUACAUCAGCUUUCUAUACUUCACUGAGAAACAUGGAUGCAGAUCCUGGUGAUAGAAUUGCGUGCAAAAUUUUUUGGCCGAUCGAUCACUGGCUGCUGGCUUCCGACAGGCCUGGAUACUUCAUUAAUGUCGAACCACAUUCAAGCGGUUCGUUUUGGGUCAAUGAAGUGCACUACUCAGAGGAAGGCGGCAAGAGCAGCGUCGAGUGGUGCCGGAAUCAUGGUCCAGGAAAAGACUGAGAUAAACUCGGAUCAAAAAUAACACAAGCAAAGUUGGCCCAAACUCUGCCAAUAUCAAUGUUCACGCAAGCCAAUUGUGUGUGCCGAAUGUUCAAGCUAUAGAUUCGGCUGUACUGUCCAGUACUGUAUUCUUUUACAAUUUUUCAUGAAUAAAGCACUGAAGGCAGGAUUCCAUACUGAAGUUU